rnacentral:tRNA from 1 species
GGGGGUGUGGCUCAGUGUGUAGAGCCCUGGCCCCAGCAAAUCAGAGGCCCUGGGUUCUAUUCCCAGCACCACUU